rnacentral:rRNA from 1 species
GAUGAACGCUGGCGGCGUGCCUAAUACAUGCAAGUCGAGCGAAUGGAUUAAGAGCUUGCUCUUAUGAAGUUAGCGGCGGACGGGUGAGUAACACGUGGGUAACCUGCCCAUAAGACUGGGAUAACUCCGGGAAACCGGGGCUAAUACCGGAUAACAUUUUGAACCGCAUGGUUCGAAAUUGAAAGGCGGCUUCGGCUGUCACUUAUGGAUGGACCCGCGUCGCAUUAGCUAGUUGGUGAGGUAACGGCUCACCAAGGCAACGAUGCGUAGCCGACCUGAGAGGGGGAUCGGCCACCCUGGGACUGAGACACGGCCCAGACUCCUACGGGAGGCAGCAGUAGGGAAUCUUCCGCAAUGGGCGAAAGUCUGACGGAGCAACGCCGCGUGAGUGAUGAAGGCUUUCGGGUCGUAAAACUCUGUUGUUAGGGAAGAACAAGUGCUAGUUGAAUAAGCUGGCACCUUGACGGUACCUAACCAGAAAGCCACGGCUAACUACGUGCCAGCAGCCGCGGUAA